GAUGAACGCUAGCGGCAGGCCUAACACAUGCAAGUCGAGGGGUAGCAGGAUUAAGCUUGCUUAAUUGCUGACGACCGGCGCAUGGGUGCGUAACGCGUAUGCAACCUACCUUAUACUGGGGUAUAGCCCGGAGAAAUUCGGAUUAAUCCCCCAUAGUACUAAUGAAUCGCAUGGUUUAUUAGUUAAAGCAUUGCGGUAUAAGAUGGGCAUGCGUCCUAUUAGCUAGAUGGUGAGGUAACGGCUCACCAUGACUACGAUAGGUAGGGGGCCUGGGAGGGUGGUCCCCCACACUGGUACUGAGACGCGGACCAGACUCCUACGGGAGGCAGCAGUGAGGAAUAUUGGUCAAUGGGCGCAAGCCUGAACCAGCCAUGCCGCGUGCAGGAAGAAUGCCCUAUGGGUUGUAAACUGCUUUUAUUUGGGAAUAAACCUCUUUACGUGUAGAGAGCUGAAGGUACCAAAUGAAUAAGCACCGGCUAACUCCGUGCCAGCCGCCGCCGUAA
rnacentral:rRNA from 1 species